AUUGAACGCUGGCGGCAUGCUUUACACAUGCAAGUCGAACGGCAGCGCGGGCUUCGGCCUGGCGGCGAGUGGCGAACAGGUGAGUAAUACAUCGGAACGUGCCCAGUAGUGGGGGAUAGCUCGGCGAAAGCCGGAUUAAUACCGCAUACGACCUGAGGGUGAAAGCGGGGGAUCUUCGGACCUCGCGCUAUUGGAGCGGCCGAUGGCAGAUUAGCUAGUUGGUGGGGUAAAGGCCUACCAAGGCGACGAUCUGUAGCUGGUCUGAGAGGACGACCAGCCACACUGGGACUGAGACACGGCCCAGACUCCUACGGGAGGCAGCAGUGGGGAAUUUUGGGCAAUGGGCGAAAGCCUGAUCCAGCAAUGCCGCGUGUGUGAUGAAGGCCUUCGGGUUGUAAAGCACUUUUGGCGGGAACGAAAAGGACUGUGCCAAUACCACGGUUCGAUGACGGUACCCGCAGAAUAAGCACCGGCUAACUACGUG
rnacentral:rRNA from 1 species